UACGGAGGGUGCAAGCGUUAUCCGGAUUCACUGGGUUUAAAGGGUGCGUAGGCGGCCUAUUAAGUCAGUGGUGAAAGCCUACGGCUUAACCGUAGAACUGCCAUUGAAACUGAUAGGCUUGAGUACAUAUGAGGUAGGCGGAAUACAUCAUGUAGCGGUGAAAUGCUUAGAUAUGAUGUAGAACACCGAUUGCGAAGGCAGCUUACCAAACUGUAACUGACGCUGAGGCACGAAAGCGUGGGGAGCGAACAGG
rnacentral:misc_RNA from 1 species